UCUUCAUUGUGUAUUUUUUUUUUUCAAUAUAUUCACAUUCAUAUUGACAACAGUGUAUCAAAUAAAUAUAAUCCGAUCUGAGGUAAUUGGAUCUUAUCUGUGGAUCUAUUUAUCCCCGUUCCAUGGAUUUGGUUUUUUCUUCAUUCAAGUGAUGGGUUUCUUGGAUUUGUUGUGAUACAAAAGUUUUUUUUGAUUGAAAAAAAUGUAUAAAAAAAUGUUAUUGUUAUAGUUAUAAAAAAUAUAGUUAUAAAAAAGUAUUUUUCUAUAUUUCUAUAUUUAUAUAAAAAUAUAGAAAAUAAAAAACGUAUACAUAUACGUAUAUAUAUGUAUAAUAAAAAAAUAUAAGAAUGGAUAGCGAAUAUAAGAAUAGAUAGCGUAAAAGACAAGAGGUGAUCUAUAAAAUUUUAUUUUAUCUAUAUUUUUUGAUCUCUUCUUUUUUUUGUUCAGAAUUGAUUAGAAAUUUUUAUAUUUCAUUUCUUUUAAUUUUUUGCUAAUUUAAUGUUUUAAUUGUGUCGUAUGAUUCAAUCUCUUUAUUUAUUUUGAUUCCGAUUGUAUCUACAUAAUCUAAUUUUUUUUAGGAGGGGGGGGAAGGGUUGCUAACUCAAUGGUAGAGUACUCGGCUUUUAAGUGCGGCUAAUAUCUUUUACACAUUUGUAUGAAGAAAGGGAUUCGUCCAUACUAUCGGUAUAGUUAUAGUUUGUAAGACCACGACUGAUCCUGAAAGGAAUGACUGGAAAAAACAGCAUGUCGUAUCAAUGGAGAAUUCUGAGAAUAUUUCAUUUUUGCCGGAUCGACCCAAACUUUAUUUGAAUUUUUGGUGCGGAACAUAAAAAAAUGAAUUCAAAAUUGGGUCGAGUGAAUAAAUGGAUAGACUCCUACGGUUCCAAUUAUAGGGAAACAAAAAAGCAACGAGCUUACGUUCUUAAUUUGAAUGAUUAUCCGAUCUAAUUAGACGUUAAAAAUAAAUUAGUACCUAAUGCGGGAAUUUCUAUGAGCAGAUUUUCUAUUUUCUUUUAAUAAGUCCUAACUAUUAGGUAUUCUCCACUAUGAGGGGGAGAUGGAUGUGUAGAAGAAAGAGUAUAUUGAUAACGAGAUUUUUUUCCAAAAUCAAAAGAGCGAUCGGCUUGAAAAAAUAAAGGAUUUCUAAUUAUCUUUUUAUCCUAUCCUAUAAUACACAUAAAUACACAUAAACCAAUUAGAUGGAAAAAAAGAGGGGAUGGGGAGUCCGUUGAUGAGUUUGCCUAUUUCCAAGGUAUCUAUUCUUUUCUUAUUAUACUACUUUGUUUUUACUGUAUCGCACUAUGUAUCAUUUAAUAAUCUAAUAAAAAUCCUCUAUCCUUGCUUCAAUCAAAGUGAAUUUAAAAUGAAACAAAAAAAUGGAGGAAAGAUAUUUAGAAUUAGAUAGAUCUCGAAAAAACGACUUCCUAUACCCAUUUAUCUUUCGGGAGUAUAUUUAUACAUUCGCUCAUGAUCAUAGUUUAAAUAGAUCUAUUUUGUUGGAAAAUGUAGGUUAUGACAAUAAAUCUAGUUUUUUAAUUGUAAAACGUUUAAUUACUCGAAUGUAUCAACAGAAUCAUUUGAUUAUUUCUGCUAAUGAUUCUAACCAAAAUCCAUUUUUUAGAUACAACAAGAAUUUGUAUUAUCAAAUGAUAUCAGAGGGCUUUGCAGUUAUUGUGGAAAUUCCAUUUUCCCUACGAUUAGUAUCUUCUUUAGAAAGGUCAGAGAUAGUAAAAUCUCAUAAAUUACGAUCAAUUCAUUCAAUAUUUCCUUUAUUAGAGGACAAAUUUCCACAUUUAAAUUAUGUGUCAGAUAUAUUAAUACCUUACCCCAUCCAUCUAGAAAAAUUGGUUCAAACCCUUCGCUAUUGGGUGAAAGAUCCCUCUUCUUUGCAUUUAUUACGACUCUUUCUUCAUGAGUAUUGGAAUUUGAACAGUCUUAUUAUUCCAAAGAAAUCUAUUAUUAUUUUUAUAAAAAGGAAUCCAAGAUUUUUCUUGUUCCUAUAUAAUUCUCAUGUAUAUGAAUACGAAUCCAUCUUCUUUUUUCUCCGUAACCAAUCCUUUCAUUUACGAUCAAUAUUUUUGCGAGUCCUUCUUGAACGAAUUUUUUUCUAUGGAAAAAUAGAACAUUUUGCGGAAGUCUUUGCUAAUGAUUUUCAGGCCACCCUGUGGUUGUUCAAGGAUCCUUUCAUGCAUUAUGUUAGAUAUCAAGGAAAAUCAAUUUUGGCUUCAAAAAAUAGGCCUUUUCUGAUGAAAAAAUGGAAAUAUUACCUUGUCAACUUAUGUCAAUAUCAUUUUUAUGUCUGGUUUCAACCAGAAAAGAUCUAUAUAAAUUCAUUAUCCAAGCAUUCUCUCAACUUUUUGGGCUAUCUUUCAAGUGUACAAUUAAAUCCUUCAGUGGUACGGAGUCAAAUGUUAGAAUAUUCAUUUAUAAUAGAUAAUACUAUAAAGAAACUCGAUACAAUAGUUCCAAUUAUUCCUUUAAUUGGAUCAUUGGCAAAAAC
rnacentral:misc_RNA from 1 species